rnacentral:rRNA from 1 species
AAAUUGAAGAGUUUGAUCAUGGCUCAGAUUGAACGCUGGCGGCAGGCCUAACACAUGCAAGUCGAGCGGUAGCACAGAGAGCUUGCUCUCGGGUGACGAGCGGCGGACGGGUGAGUAAUGUCUGGGAAACUGCCUGAUGGAGGGGGAUAACUACUGGAAACGGUAGCUAAUACCGCAUAACGUCGCAAGACCAAAGUGGGGGACCUUCGGGCCUCAUGCCAUCAGAUGUGCCCAGAUGGGAUUAGCUAGUAGGUGAGGUAACGGCUCACCUAGGCGACGAUCCCUAGCUGGUCUGAGAGGAUGACCAGCCACACUGGAACUGAGACACGGUCCAGACUCCUACGGGAGGCAGCAGUGGGGAAUAUUGCACAAUGGGCGCAAGCCUGAUGCAGCCAUGCCGCGUGUGUGAAGAAGGCCUUCGGGUUGUAAAGCACUUUCAGCGGGGAGGAAGGCGGUGAGGUUAAUAACCUCAUCGAUUGACGUUACCCGCAGAAGAAGCACCGGCUAACUCCGUGCCAGCAGCCGCGGUAAUACGGAGGGUGCAAGCGUUAAUCGGAAUUACUGGGCGUAAAGCGCACGCAGGCGGUCUGUCAAGUCGGAUGUGAAAUCCCCGGGCUCAACCUGGGAACUGCAUUCGAAACUGGCAGGCUAGAGUCUUGUAGAGGGGGGUAGAAUUCCAGGUGUAGCGGUGAAAUGCGUAGAGAUCUGGAGGAAUACCGGUGGCGAAGGCGGCCCCCUGGACAAAGACUGACGCUCAGGUGCGAAAGCGUGGGGAGCAAACAGGAUUAGAUACCCUGGUAGUCCACGCCGUAAACGAUGUCGAUUUGGAGGUUGUGCCCUUGAGGCGUGGCUUCCGGAGCUAACGCGUUAAAUCGACCGCCUGGGGAGUACGGCCGCAAGGUUAAAACUCAAAUGAAUUGACGGGGGCCCGCACAAGCGGUGGAGCAUGUGGUUUAAUUCGAUGCAACGCGAAGAACCUUACCUGGUCUUGACAUCCACAGAACUUUCCAGAGAUGGAUUGGUGCCUUCGGGAACUGUGAGACAGGUGCUGCAUGGCUGUCGUCAGCUCGUGUUGUGAAAUGUUGGGUUAAGUCCCGCAACGAGCGCAACCCUUAUCCUUUGUUGCCAGCGGUCCGGCCGGGAACUCAAAGGAGACUGCCAGUGAUAAACUGGAGGAAGGUGGGGAUGACGUCAAGUCAUCAUGGCCCUUACGACCAGGGCUACACACGUGCUACAAUGGCAUAUACAAAGAGAAGCGACCUCGCGAGAGCAAGCGGACCUCAUAAAGUAUGUCGUAGUCCGGAUUGGAGUCUGCAACUCGACUCCAUGAAGUCGGAAUCGCUAGUAAUCGUAGAUCAGAAUGCUACGGUGAAUACGUUCCCGGGCCUUGUACACACCGCCCGUCACACCAUGGGAGUGGGUUGCAAAAGAAGUAGGUAGCUUAACCUUCGGGAGGGCGCUUACCACUUUGUGAUUCAUGACUGGGGUGAAGUCGUAACAAGGUAACCGUAGGGGAACCUGCGGUUGGAUCACCUCCUUA